GGGCUUCAGAGGCCCUAGGCUGGGAGAGGUGGGAGAGGCAUGCAGCUUGGCACUUCUUCAGGGACAGAGCUCAGCUCCACUGCCUCCCUGAAGGACACUGGGCAGAGGUGGGGGCGACGGAAUCCCUGGAAUGGAAUGUGCAUUGUCCUCAGACCUUGGAUUAGGAGGGCGAUCUGGGGAAGGGCUGAGAACAAUGGGGACCCAGAGGACCUGCUUCUCAGACAGACAGGGCAGGGCAGAGAGGGGCAGGCUGGGAAAGGACUGUGGUUCAGGAAAAGUAGCCAGCCCUCCCACGCCCAGGAGCUCCAGCAGCCAGGCCUCUCCCCCAGAUUUCCCGGUCAAAAGGCAGGUGCGGCCUCUGUAACUGUGGUGAAAGUCAUCUCCAGAUCCUCAACAGGACGCUCUCCAGAUGAUGCUAACUUUAAGUGAAGAGUCUGAACAAAAGCCACCAAUCACUGAAGAGGAAAUCCCACCAAUCCUCACACUGGAAAUCUACCCUAGAAGGCUCCACCUCCCAAGGACCCCUACAUAAGCACUGUCUUUCUCCAGGUCCCUGCUGUCUGCUCCCUCCCAGGAGCAUAGGCAAUCUUGGGAACACCCGUUCACACCCUAGACCCUCUGAUAAAUCUGUUUGUUGAGA